CAGUCGCCGCGGGAAUACGGAGGGUGCAAGCGUUAAUCGGAAUUACUGGGCGUAAAGCGCACGCAGGCGGUCUGUCAAGUCGGAUGUGAAAUCCCCGGGCUCAACCUGGGAACUGCAUUCGAAACUGGCAGGCUAGAGUCUUGUAGAGGGGGGUAGAAUUCCAGGUGUAGCGGUGAAAUGCGUAGAGAUCUGGAGGAAUACCGGUGGCGAAGGCGGCCCCCUGGACAAAGACUGACGCUCAGGUGCGAAAGCGUGGGGAGCAAACAGGAUUAGAUACCCGAGUAGUCCCUGUCUCUUAUAC
rnacentral:rRNA from 1 species